rnacentral:lncRNA from 1 species
GGGAGCGGACGGGGCCGCGUGCACUGCGGGCGUGCAGCGUGCAGGGCCGGGGUAUUUUUAUCCCAUGCUUGAUGGAUCGGUGCACGGCUUCACUGCUGCCAGAUGAUUUUCCACCGGUUCCAUCACAUAGCAAUUUAAGGGCGCGGAGCAAUCACACUCCAGAGAUGCGGUGAAGGAAGAGACAUCGGGCAACAGGAUGAAACUGAAUUGGAGAAGAGAUCCAAAUGCCAAGGAGGAGAGCGGACACACGAGCGGGUCCCGCUGAGCCCGCGGGCAGGCAGAGGCUGGAAGAACACAGCUGCGCCAUUUGGGAGAAAAUGAUCCGAAUCGGGCUGCGAGCCACCAGGAGGGAGAGUCCCGUGGGGCUGAGCGAGGCACGGCACAGGGUCUGCCACAUCCGACAUUUUCGGAGCAAAAUAUUGAUGGAAAAUCCUUGCCCAGACCAAAAUCCAGCCUCUGCCCCGCGUCGGAGGUGCAGGACAUGGGUGAGCACCACCGUGGCAUCCCCUCUCCCCCCGAGGUUCCACAUCCUCAUUUCCCGGGCGCGGAUAAGAUGUUUGUGCCACGGACGGCAUCUUCUGUCAGCAUGAAAUCCCUCUCGUUGUUGGAGUGUGGAAAAUGGAAGAAUGCUUUGUAAUCUGGUUACACGUAGCCUGCACAUCUCAGGUCUCAUACAUUUUUGUAGCUGCUGAUAGAAAUGGGUCGAAUCCUUGCCUGUAUCGGAGGGUUAGGAGGCCGGGGAUGUUUACACCCUCUCCUUUCUCCAGGAGUGAUGUGUCUGUGGGGCAGAGGACAAGGAUAGGUGCCCCCUGAAUGCUGGUGUAGCCCAGGGGGGCUGCAGAAGAGCUGUCCCCAUCAGUGUCACACUUUUUGGCCUCCCAGCACAUUUUGUGUGUGGCCUGGGAGGGGACGGGAGGGAUGUGCCAGUUCUGCAAUGCUGCUGGUGGAAAGUUAGCCCAGGAGAAGUGACCAGGCACCUGGUCACACCAAGUGCCCCCACUGAGCUGUGUCCCUAGGCACCACGUCCCCACGUCCCUUACACACCUCCAGGGUGGGGACCCCACCAGUGCCCCGGGCAGCCUGUCCCAGUGCUUGGUCACCCUCUGUGGGACCAAAUUCUGCCUGAGGCCCGCUCUGGGCCUCCCCUGGUGCAGGCUGGGGGGUUCCCAGAGGAGCAGACAGCUUGGAUGAAGCCGUCUCCAUCACCAACCCCCUGCCCGUGCUGCUGUCCCAGCAUUUCAGGGCUGACGCAGGGCACUGCCUCUUGCCUUGCACUCACCUAAGUUAGGCUGGAAAAAUCCUCAUGGAAGACUGUUAGUGGCUGUUCUAGCUUUCUUUCAAGCUGCCCUAUUUAUUUAAUCCUACAGAGCGGAUCCAAGCCAAGCUCCUGUUGACAUCUACACCUGGAGAGGAGCUGGUUUGGUGCUUCAGUGGCAAGGAGAACCCCUAUUUCCAGCUCACCCCAGGCCACAUGUCCCUGCCCCGUCAUUCUUCAUUACCACCACCGUGGCCUUCAUGAUCUUGAUAGUUUUUCCAACCUAGAUGAUUCUCAGUGCCCUGCUGAGGAUUUCCCACAGGGAGGGAUGCUCC